UACGUAGGUGGCAAGCGUUGUCCGGAUUUACUGGGCGUAAAGAGCGCGCAGGCGGUCGUUCAAGUCGCGUGUGAAAGCCCCCCGGCUCAACUGGGGAGGGUCACGCGAUACUGAUCGACUCGAAGGCAGGAGAGGGAAGUGGAAUUCCCGGUGUAGUGGUGAAAUGCGUAGAUAUCGAGAGGAACACCUGCGGCGAAGGCGGGUUGCUGGGCUGAUACUGACGCUGAGGCGCGAAAGCCAGGGGAGCGAACGGG
rnacentral:rRNA from 1 species